UUGCCCCAGUAACGGCGAGUGAAGCGGCAACAGCUCAAAUUUGAAAUCUGGCCCCAGGCCCGAGUUGUAAUUUGCAGAGGAUGCUUUUGGCGCGGUGCCUUCCGAGUUCCCUGGAACGGGACGCCAUAGAGGGUGAGAGCCCCGUACGGUUGGACACCAAGCCUUUGUAAAGCUCCUUCGACGAGUCGAGUAGUUUGGGAAUGCUGCUCAAAAUGGGAGGUAUAUUUCUUCUAAAGCUAAAUAUAGGCCAGAGACCGAUAGCGCACAAGUAGAGUGAUCGAAAGAUGAAAAGCACUUUGAAAAGAGGGUUAAACAGCACGUGAAAUUGUUAAAAGGGAAGCGCUUGUGACCAGACUUGCGUCCGGUGAAUCACCCAGCUCUCGCGGCUGGGGCACUUCGCCGGCACAGGCCAGCAUCAGCUUGCCGUCGGGGACAAAAGCUUCAGGAACGUAGCUCUCUUCGGGGAGUGUUAUAGCCUGUUGCAUAAUACCCUUCGGCGGGCUGAGGUACGCGCUCCGCAAGGAUGCUGGCGUAAUGGUCAUCAGCGACCCGUCUUGAACNGGACCCCAAA
rnacentral:rRNA from 1 species